UCUUUUAUUUAGCUUUUAGAGAGGUUUAUUUUUGUUGGGUAUAGGGUCUGAAUUUUUGGGGUUAGAUAGUAUCAGCUUGGAUUUCUUCCCCGAACACAAUUAUGGAAUUUUCGCAAUGAUUUUAGAAAUCGAAAUUCUCGCCAGAUUUUGUCCUUUUUUGUUAGUGUUCAUGGAAACACUCAUUUUUUUCUUAACCCUCUCGAAUACAAGGAUUUUCCUGGCACCAUCGUUUCUUUCUCCCUAUUACUUGCAAAGUUGAUCCUCCUCCAAUAUUUGGGAAAUCUAAUUUUGUUGUGACGCUUUCAAUAGGUAAAUUAACAUCGUCUUCAUUGGACCAACCAUAUAUUCACCCAUGGACACGAUGUUACAACUAAUUGGAUCUAAAAUUUAGCCGACGCUCAUGUUUGUUCAGUUGAUGCUAACAUCCAUUAGUUGGCGACCACUGAUAACUUUUUAUAUUUUUCCAUUUUAGUAAUUACAGUAACAAAUUUAGGUAGGUCUCUUCCAUUGUUGGUUCUCACUGUGCUUUCAUAAUGUCUAAACUAUACAAAAUCUGGCCCCUUGGGAACUUUGGCUUUGAUGUCGACCAUUUAAAAAUAUGGUGCUUGUGAUACAGAGGCGCUGCCUGCAGCUGUUAUAAGAAGGUGCAAUUUCCCAAGCAUGUCAUCUCUUUAAACCAUGAAAUAGAACUCUACCCUGUAUUCUAAAGCAGAGUUUAACCUUAUUGUGUCAUCCGAUUAUUGCGACCUCUCAAUUAAUGAACACGAUAUUGUCUGCCUUGAAGGGGAAUGUCCAGAGGAUGCAUUGAUGCAUUCUGGGAUGAAAAUUGUGAUUGAAGAUUGCCCUUUGCAGCAGACAUCCUUCUCAUAUGGUCUAAUCAGGUGCCUCAAAAAAAGCUUAUAUAUUGGUCCUUCGGAACAUAUGAGUGAUGUUAGCAACUCGAAUCAGUAGCCUGCAGAAGGAAAGCCUCUGAAGACCAGAUGUGUAGAUAAAGCCAAAGAAACACUAAUUGGUUACCUUCCUUCUGCAUCAGAGAGAAGCUUUGAGGAAUACUAUAUGAAUACAUAUGCUCCCGAUGACAGAAUAUAUAACACUAAAUUAAAGACAUACUGAUGGGCAGAUAAGGACUGAGGACCAAAGUCUAUUACUACUGGGAGGAGGUCACAUAUGUUAAAUGUAUCAGCAAAAGUAAUGUACAUCUGAGGAUAGUUGUGCUUUUUCCUGGAUAUUUUUUUUGAUGUCAACGUUCAAUGUGUUUGAAUGUACGGAGUGUAAAAAUUGAUCUCUCUUUGGCACAGUAGUACAUAUUUUGGUGUUUCAGAAAUCACAGCUAUUUUCUUGUGUAAUUUAUUGAUGUCUAUGGCAAUUUUAUUUGGUAAAACUAAACUGUAACAAUGUAUUUCAUGAAUCAAUAUGUCGGGCAGGCCCGUGCGCAUCACG